rnacentral:rRNA from 1 species
UACGGGGGGAGCAAGCGUUGUUCGGAUUUACUGGGCGUAAAGGGCGCGUAGGCGGUUCGCUAAGUCGGUUGUGAAAUCCCUGGGCUUAACCUGGGAACUGCAGUCGAUACUGGUGGACUAGAGUACGGUAGAGGGUGGCGGAACUCCGGGUGUAGCGGUGAAAUGCGUAGAUAUCCGGAAGAAUAACGAGGGCGAAGGCAACCACCUGGGCCUGUACUGACGCUGAGGUACGAAAGCGUGGGGAGCAAACAGG